rnacentral:misc_RNA from 1 species
AUUGUUGUUGACUGUAGGUAACUUCUCCAGCCGCUGAAUAGCUAGCUGUACUAUAGAGCGUGUCUACACCAAAUUGCAGACGGGCUUGCCCACUUCGCUACUCUGGGACUGGUUACACUUGUUUAGAAGUUUGUUGGGACACUCCACAUUAGCCAUCUGAAAUUUUGUGCAACGAUUGAAUAGGAGCAAUGUCCAUCCGUAUGAUUUCUGCUCCACAGGCAGCUUUCUCUCUACUAACUAUUGUUCUACUUAUACUAGUAUUAGGAGUUCAAACUCUUUCAA